rnacentral:rRNA from 1 species
AGAGUUUGAUCAUGGCUCAGGAUGAACGCUGGCGGCGUGCUUAACACAUGCAAGUCGAACGAACCUUCGGGUUAGUGGCGGACGGGUGAGUAACGCGUGGGAAUCUGCCCUCAGGAGGGGGAUAACGGUUGGAAACGGCCGCUAAUACCCCAUAUGCCGAGAGGUGAAAUGAAUUUCGCCUGAGGAUGAGCCCGCGUCUGAUUAGCUAGUUGGUGAGGUAAGAGCUCACCAAGGCAUCGAUCAGUAGCUGGUCUGAGAGGAUGAUCAGCCACACUGGGACUGAGACACGGCCCAGACUCCUACGGGAGGCAGCAGUGGGGAAUUUUCCGCAAUGGGCGAAAGCCUGACGGAGCAACGCCGCGUGAGGGAUGAAGGCCUCUGGGCUGUAAACCUCUUUUAUCAAGGAAGAAGAUCUGACGGUACUUGAUGAAUAAGCCACGGCUAAUUCCGUGCCAGCAGCCGCGGUAAUACGGGAGUGGCAAGCGUUAUCCGGAAUUAUUGGGCGUAAAGCGUCCGCAGGCGGCCCUUCAAGUCUGCUGUUAAAAAGUGGAGCUUAACUCCAUCAUGGCAGUGGAAACUGUUGGGCUUGAGUGUGGUAGGGGCAGAGGGAAUUCCCGGUGUAGCGGUGAAAUGCGUAGAUAUCGGGAAGAACACCAGUGGCGAAGGCGCUCUGCUGGGCCAUCACUGACGCUCAUGGACGAAAGCCAGGGGAGCGAAAGGGAUUAGAUACCCCUGUAGUCCUGGCCGUAAACGAUGAACACUAGGUGUCGGGGGAAUCGACCCCUCCGGUGUCGUAGCCAACGCGUUAAGUGUUCCGCCUGGGGAGUACGCACGCAAGUGUGAAACUCAAAGGAAUUGACGGGGGCCCGCACAAGCGGUGGAGUAUGUGGUUUAAUUCGAUGCAACGCGAAGAACCUUACCAGGGUUUGACAUCCUGCGAAUCUCUUGGAAACUUGAGAGUGCCUUCGGGAGCGCAGUGACAGGUGGUGCAUGGCUGUCGUCAGCUCGUGUCGUGAGAUGUUGGGUUAAGUCCCGCAACGAGCGCAACCCACGUUUUUAGUUGCCAGCAUUUAGUUGGGCACUCUAGAGAGACCGCCGGUGAUAAACCGGAGGAAGGUGUGGAUGACGUCAAGUCAUCAUGCCCCUUACAUCCUGGGCUACACACGUACUACAAUGCUACGGACAAAGGGCAGCAAGUUCGCGAGGACAAGCAAAUCCCAUAAACCGUGGCUCAGUUCAGAUCGUAGGCUGCAACUCGCCUACGUGAAGGAGGAAUCGCUAGUAAUCGCAGGUCAGCAUACUGCGGUGAAUACGUUCCCGGGCCUUGUACACACCGCCCGUCACACCAUGGAAGUUGGCCACGCCCGAAGCCGUUACUCCAACCCUUGUGGAGGAGGACGUCGAAGGUGGGGCUGAUGACUGGGGUGAAGUCGUAACAAGGUAACCGUA